rnacentral:rRNA from 1 species
UACGGGUGGGGCAAGCGUUGUUCGGAAUUACUGGGCGUAAAGGGCUCGUAGGUGGCCAACUAAGUCAGACGUGAAAUCCCUCGGCUUAACCGGGGAACUGCGUCUGAUACUGGAUGGCUGGAGUUUGGGAGAGGGAUGCGGAAUUCCAGGUGUAGCGGUGGAAUGCGCAGAUAUCAGGAGGAACACCAAUAGCGAAGGCAGCUCGCUGGGACGGUAUUGACGCUGAGGCGCGAAAGCGUGGGGAGCAAACAGG